ensembl:lncRNA
GGAAAAGUUAUUUAUUCUAAGAAAUGUGCAGUAUAGAAAAUACUUCAGUCCAUUUCCAAAAUAAUCUAUGUCAGUCAGAUGAAACAUACAGGGUCUUUUUUGAUGCUGCCAUGCUACAGAGGUAAAUGUCAACUGCUUAAAAACAAAAAAACAACCAAAGAUAACAUUUAUAUAAAAAAAGUCAAAAUGUACAACAUUUAAGAGCAAAUAAAUAUGAUUCACAUUUAAAUCAAAUCUAGAUAUUUUACUAGUGCAGACAAACUGGAUGACAGAGUAGAAGUGGAGUGUUGUGGCAUACAGACUUCCAUGUCUUGUGCAGACUACACAUCAGCGACAACAAAGCUGCAUAACAGUAUGAUAACCUCACAGACCAUUUACAACUACACUGUCCAUACAUGGACAGCACAAAUGAUCACACUACCUACGAGAAGACCUCAUCUAGUACUAAAAAUCCCUAGCAAGUAAAACAAUACAUCCUUAAACAGCAGGGUUCCCCAACUGGCUCGCGGGUGGUUUUAUUUGGCCCCCCAAGUUUUCUGAGCAAAACUUGUUCCUAAGAAUUCCCACAGAUAAUAGAAAGAUACAUGUGAUCGUAUACAAAUGUAAGCAAGGUUUGAAAUGAUGUUUUAGGUGAUAUAUAUAUUUUUGGCCUUCUUGCGGUCAAAUUGGAGUAUACAAAUUAUUUGUAAUUAUGUUCCGGCCCACCGACCAUUCGCUCAAGAAAGAAAAUUGGCCUGCGGCUGAAUCUAGUUGAUGAUCCCUGAUAUACAGUAUCCUGGGACAAAUCAAAAGUCUCACAGCUUCUAGUAUUUUCCUAUAUUCAUCCCUCCUUGAGCACAUUUCCUGUUAAUGCCAUAGGUGUCUAUAAUUGAGGGAACUACACUGCCAUCUCUAUGCUGCCUAACACAGAUCCAGUAGAACCACAGGGCUCAGGUUGUCUACUCACCUCACUCUGUGGCAGGAAGGCAUGCAAUCUAUACAGCUGGUGAGACAAGAUCAUAUUUAAAGAGCCCUUUUCUGACGACCUCAGACAUACGCCCUUUAACAACCCCC